rnacentral:rRNA from 1 species
AUUGAACGCUGGCGGCAGGCCUUACACAUGCAAGUCGAACGAGUGGCGGACGGGUGAGUAAUGUCUGGGAAACUGCCCCAUGGCGGGGGAUAACUACAGGAAACGGUAGCUAAUACCGCAUACCAUCGGAUGUGCCCAGAUGGGAUUAGCUAGUAGGUGGGGUAACGGCUAACCAAGGCUACGCUCCAUAGCUGGUCUGAGAGGAUGACCAGCCACACUGGAACUGAGACACGUGCCAGACUCCUACGGGAGGCAGCAGUAGGGAAUAUUGCACAAUGGGCGAAAGCCUGAUUCAGCAAUGCCGCGUGUAUGAAGAAGGCCUUCGGGUUGUAAAGUACUUUCAGCAGGGAGGCGUUACUCGCAGAAUAAGCACCGGCUAACUCCGUGCCAGCAGCCGCGGUAAUUC